rnacentral:rRNA from 1 species
UAGAGGCCUACCAUGGUGGUAACGGGUAACGGGGUGUUAGGGCACGACACCGGAGAGGGAGCCUGAGAAACGGCUACCACAUCCAAGGAUGGCAGCAGGCGCGCAAAUUACCCAAUCCCGACACGGGGAGGUAGUGACAAUAAAUAACAAUACGGGGUUCUUUAGGAUCUCGUAAUUGGAAUGAGUACAAUUUAAAUCUCUUAACGAGGAACAAUUGGAGGGCAAGUCUGGUGCCAGCAGCCGCGGUAAUUCCAGCUCCAAUAGCGUAUAUUAAAGUUGUUGCAGUUAAAAAGCUCGUAGUUGAAUUUCGGGGUUAGUAGGUUGGUCAUGCCUCUGGUAUGUACUGGUCUCACUGAUUCCUCCUUCCUGAUGAGCCGUAAUGCCAUUAAUUUGGUGUUGCGGGGAAUUUGGACUGUUACUUUGAAAAAAUUAGAGUGUUUAAAGCAGGCUCACGCUUGAAUACAUUAGCAUGGAAUAAUGAAAUAGGACGUUUGAUUCUAUUUUGUUGGUUUCUAGGAUCGACGUAAUGAUUAAUAGGGAUAGUUGGGGGCAUUAGUAUUCAAUUGUCAGAGGUGAAAUUCUUGGAUUUAUUGAAGACUAACUACUGCGAAAGCAUUUGCCAAGGAUGUUUUCAUUAAUCAAGAACGAAAGUUAGGGGAUCGAAGACGAUCAGAUACCGUCGUAGUCUUAACCAUAAACUAUGCCGACUAGGAAUCAGACGAUGUUAAUUUUUUAAUGACUCAUUCGGCGCCUCACGGGAAACC